rnacentral:rRNA from 1 species
UACGAAGGGGGCUAGCGUUGCUCGGAAUCACUGGGCGUAAAGGGUGCGUAGGCGGGUCUUUUAAGUCAGAGGUGAAAUCCCUGGAGCUCAACUCCAGAACUGGCCUUUGAUACUGAGGGUCUUGAGUAUGACAGAGGUGAGUGGAACUGCGAGUGUAGAGGUGAAAUUCGUAGAUAUUCGCAAGAACACCAGUGGCGGAAGGCGCUCACUGGGUCAUUACUGACGCUGAGGCACGGAAAGCGUGGGGAGCAAACAGG